rnacentral:misc_RNA from 1 species
GAUGAAGAACGUAGCGAAAUGCGAUACUUGGUGUGAAUUGCAGAAUCCCGUGAACCAUCGAGUCUUUGAACGCAAGUUGCGCCCGAAGCCAUUAGGCCGAGGGCACGCCUGCCUGGGCGUCACACGUCGUUGCCCCCCAUCUACUCCUUCGGGAUUGCGGGGGGCGGAUGAUGGCCUCCCGUGCGCCUCGUCGCGCGGUUGGCAUAAAUGCCAAGUCCUCGGCGACGCACGCCACGACAAUCGGUGGUUGCGAAACCUCGGUUGCCCGUCGUGUGCGGUCGUCGCGCAUCGAGGGCUCGAAAAAAUUGCCGGGCUCCGGCUCGGCUUUCAACGCGACCCCAGGUCAGGCGGGGUUACCCGCUGAAUUUAAGCAUAUCAAUAAGCGGAGGA